UUUGCUUUCUUGUCCAGUCUUGGGAGUGCCUGACCACAGCAGGAUCUUCUGGUAGGAGGAGCUGGUUUUCUUUCAUGUCAUACGUUUCUCAUGCCCCACCCAGGAAGCUGGAGCCUCCUUCUCUGCUCAUCCAGAUAAAUGAUCCAGGCUCCAUUAGAACCCAUCACUGACCUUGGAAGCUGCUGGAGCCACGAUUCAGUCCCCUGGACUGUAGAUAAAGACCCUUUCUUGCCAGGUGCUGAGACAACCACACUAUGAGAGGCACUCCAGGAGACGCUGAUGGUGGAGGAAGGGCCGUCUAUCAAUCAAUGUGUAAACCUAUUACUGGGACUAUUAAUGAUUUGAAUCAGCAAGUGUGGACCCUUCAGG
rnacentral:lncRNA from 1 species